rnacentral:lncRNA from 1 species
GAAGUUAUCAAUAAUUUCAUCAUUAAACAAAAGAUACAAAUUACAAGGAAGAGAUCACCCUACUAUUUCGUUGUAGACCACCAAUUAUUUUACAUAUGUAAUCUACGUUAUUCAUAAAGGAUGAUAAAUCACACCAUAAUACUACUGGAUAUAAUACGAUACAUAAAAACAAAACACGCGAUCUUAUUUAGUUACAUUCAUGCAUAUCUUCUCUUUCUCAUCUACACAUCAUACUUAGUUGGGUUUUAUUACUUGGGUUCAAUAUCAUUAAUCACCAAAUUGUAUCCACUUACAUUCGGUCUAGGUUCAAAUCAUUAUUCAGUGGAUUAUACCUAGUUGCAUUUGGCCUAGGUUCAAAUUCAGUGUUCACUGGAUUAUAUCCGCUGAUAUUUGGUCUAGGUUCAAAAUCAUUAUUCAGUGGAUUAUACUUAGUUGCACUUGGCCUAGGUUCAAAUUCAGUGCUCACUGGAUUAUACCGAGUGGCACUUGGUUUAGAUUCAAAAUCACUAUUCACUGGAUUAUACCUGGUGGCACUUGGCCUAGGUUCAAAUUCAGUGUUCACUGGAUUAUACCGAGUGACACUUAGUCUAGGUUCAAAAUCACUAUCCACUGGAUUAUACCUAGUGGCACUCGGCCUAGGUUCAAAUUCAGUGUUCACUGGAUUAUACCGAGUGACACUUAGUCUAGGUUCAAAAUCACUAUUCAUUGGAUUAUACUUAGUGGCACU